CAUUUAAUCAGUUUACUUGAAGUGCAUCAAUAUUUAAUUUUAGAUUAUUAGAGAACAUGUAUAAUGAAUUGAGCUGGAGGAAACUGUGAUUUGAUUCAUUUUCAUUUGCACUUUAGUUUGUCUGAUAUGGAGUGAGUCAAUAUUUGUGUGCUUCACUUCAGAUUGGUUUUUCAAGUUCUCAGCACUACCAAUAAGACCAAGCUAGAUGAAGAACUAACAAGAGCAUCCUGCAGAAUCCGUGUUAGCUUUGAAUCACGAUAAGGACUCUUUCUUUAGCUCCAGUUUUCUCUCUUUCCUUUAGCUCAAGGAUCAGGUUUUCAGACCUAUGAGAUUACUGAAAAAAGUGCUUGCGUUAUAGUCUGACCCUAAACUCUGUUAUCUGGAUGAAGGCUAUUCUCAAUGGCCCAAGGGACGGGUUGGUUGAUUUUGCUGAGUCUCGGGCCAGUAGUGAUAAAGAAGUUGAUCUUGUCCUCAAUAGAUCCGUGGUAGAAACUAUACGUUUGGAGACGAGGAGUAGGAGAGGGUACAAUAAAUUAUUCUCGAACUUCUUGCUGGUGGAGGAAAGGGUUGUCACACUUAUUUGAGGAGCAAAGUUAAGAGAUUUAGAGCUUAAAGUUGAAGUGAAGAUAUAAACUCUAAAGAUAUUCUUUCAACCUUUUUGGAUAAAUGCUAGAAUCAGAGACUCAAGAAUUAUUCGAGCAAAGGCGCGGGAAAAAACGGGAGAUGGAAGAGAUGAUGAAGCAGUUUAUGACUAAUACUUGUGAGGUUCUAUCAUGAUUCUAUCCAAGCAGCCCCAAUAAUCAAGUCGCGCUCCAGAUUGUGAUGAUGAUGUAUCUGCAUAGAAUUGAUGUCUCACGAACUAAGUUCAAAACUCGAUACUUUAUGUUUCUUUUUGCUUUCGUACGUUAGUUGUAUAUUGACUAAUACUUUUGAGGUUUUAUCUAUCAUGUUUCUCA